rnacentral:lncRNA from 1 species
GCGGGACUUCCGGGCGGCCUGCGGCCGGGGCAGAGACACGGCCCGCUUGGUCUAGUUUGCUGUGCGGGAGUCAGCUCCUCCAAGACGCAAGGCCGCCCUGGGCCAGCUUGAGGAAGAGCUCGAUUGUAUCAGCACGUCUCAGUAUCUCUGCUUCUACCCUUCCUCCCUCUGAGAGCCCGGCGAGAGCGAAGCUAUGUCACUGUCUGAGCCUCAGUGAGGGCAGUGGGUGCGUCCCUGGCGGUCCCCUUUGGGUGUCAGAGAGGACCCCCACAUCAUGGGAGCAGGACCACGGCGACUGGGAGGCAGGGCUUUGCUUUCUGCUCUUCCGCCUGCGCUCCUGCUAGACCUCAACACACAGGUUCACCCUUGCAAGGGCUCGCUACAAGUACAGCGAAAAGGAGGUUCUUGAUGGGGUGGCAGGUGCUCAAGCCUCAGUGGGGUGUGACAAUAAACAGAUUUGCCGUUGCUUCACCAAUGCCGCAUUGUCCAGUGAGACGGAUCGCAGCACUGCUCACAAGGACCCUCUCUGAAGACGCGUUUUGCCAGCCCUUGGAGGCCAUGCCAUUUUGCUCAUCCACAGGCUCUUGGGCAUGGUUUUAUGAGAUGGUUCAUCACGAAGCUUCCAUCAGGUUCCGCCCAGCUGCUUCCACUGGCCCUUGUAACCAAGGCCAGAAAACCCCUGCUGUCUCUUUCACCUGCCUCAUCACAUCGCUUUUCUGAUGGACACACACAUGCUCGAAUGGGGAGAAGGAGACGUAUUGCCAUCAAGAUUAACCAAUACAAAGAUGAUACUAGCUAUCUGCUCUGGGCUUCCCGGGUGGCUCAGCAGGCUGUCCAUCGAGCCGCAGCUCCGAAACCUGUUCCGUUACCACCACUGCUGAAGUCGCGUCAGGAACAUCUAAUGGAGCCAGCUUUCCUUCCCCACACUCACCCCACCCCUACUUCUCUCCCUGAUCUCCAUCCAAGCUCUGCCGGGUCUCUCUGCGUUUUCAUCCUAUUGUCUGAAUCCCUUGCUGCUGGGUCUUCAUUUUUCAGAAUUAGAAUAUUCUGCCUUCUCUCAAGUCCUGUCCUCAGGGCUGGCUACCUAACUUGCGGGGCUGGGAAAAAAUAAAAAUAGGGGCCCCUUAUUCAGAAAACAGGGAAAGGAGUACAGGUAAAAAUGAAACCUGUGAAAUAGUUUAUUGCUCAUCAAAUGCAACAAGGCCGUAGUGGCAUUACUUAAUCACGGCAUGGCGCAGUGCGACACAGCCUGAGAAGGGCAGGGCCGCCUGCAGGCGAGGCCUCCCUGCCCUCCUGAAGCCAGCAUCGCUGCUCUCCAUACAGCCGUCACCGCCAAUCCGGGUCCAGGCCCCCAG